UGCAGAUGUUGAAAGCAGACCGCGGGUCC
rnacentral:sRNA from 1 species